rnacentral:rRNA from 1 species
GUGUCAGCCGCCGCGGUAAUACGGAGGGGGCUAGCGUUGUUCGGAAUUACUGGGCGUAAAGCGCACGUAGGCGGUUUGGCAAGUCAGGGGUGAAAUCCCCAGGCUCAACCUGGGAAUUGCCCUUGAUACUGCCUGACUAGAGUCCGGGAGAGGGUAGUGGAAUUCCCAGUGUAGAGGUGAAAUUCGUAGAUAUUGGGAAGAACACCGGUGGCGAAGGCGGCUACCUGGACCGGUACUGACGCUGAGGUGCGAAAGCGUGGGGAGCACACAGGAUUAGAUACCCUGGUAGUCCACGCCGUAAACGAUGAGUGCUAGAUGUUGGGGAACCUAGUUCUUCAGUGUCACAGCUAACGCGUUAAGCACUCCGCCUGGGGAGUACGGCCGCAAGGCUAAAACUUAAAGGAAUUGACGGGG